rnacentral:rRNA from 1 species
CCCUUAGAUGUUCGGGGCCGCACGCGCGCUACACUGAAGGAAUCAGCACGUCUUUCUCCUUGUCCGAAAGGACUGGGUAACCCGCUGAACCUCCUUCGUGCUAGGGAUUGGGGCUUGUAAUUCUUCCCCAUGAACGAGGAAUUCCCAGUAAGCGCGAGUCAUAAGCUCGCGUUGAUUACGUCCCUGCCCUUUGUACACACCGCCCGUCGCUACUACCGAUUGGAUGGUUUAGUGAGAUCCUCGGAUUGGUCCCGGCGCGGCCUCUGGUCGUGCCGGAGUGCCGAAAAGAAUGUCGAACUUGAUCGUCUAGAGGAAGUAAAAGUCGUAACA